GUCCGGGAGGAGCCAACCGUGGCGCAGGCGGCGCGGGGAGGCGUCCCAGAGUCUCACUCUGCCGCCCAGGCUGGACUGCAGUGACACAAUCUCGGCUGACUGCAACCACUGCCUCCAGGGUUCAAGCGAUUCUCUUGCCUCAGCCUCCCAAGUAGCUGGGAUUACAGAUUGAUGUUCAUGUUCCUGACACUACUACAAGAUUCAUACUCCUGAUGCUACUGACAACGUGGCUUCUCCACAGUCACCAAACCAGGGAUGCUAUACUGGACUUCCCUACUCUCAUCUGCUCCAGCCCCCUGACCUUAUAGUUGCCCAGCUUUCCUGGCAAUUGACUUUGCCCAUCAAUACACAGGAUUUAGCAUCCAGGGAAGAUGUCGGAGCCUCAGAUGUUAAUUUUCUAAUUGAGAAUGUUGGCGCUGUCCGAACCUGGAGACAGAGUAUCAGCGCCUUUGCUUGCUGCUGUUUUUGCUGUUUUUUGAUGCUGGGAACCACCACCUAAAGAUAGUAAAGAAAACACAGGAAGCUUUCCGGAAAACAAAAAGUCCUUUCUCCUGAUUCACCAAAAAAUAAAAUACUGACUACCAUCACUGUGAUGAGAUUCCUAUAGUCUCAGGAACUGAAGUCUUUAAACAACCAGGGACCCUCUGCCCCUAGAAUAAGAACAUACUAGAAGUCCCUUCUGCUAGGACAACGAGGAAGAAGAGAAAGAGGAGACGUGGAGAAGUCGUG
rnacentral:lncRNA from 1 species